rnacentral:tRNA from 1 species
GGUCCGGUGGCCGAGGCGAUGAAGGCGCCCGUCUUCACACGGUAGGACCUGGGUUCAAAUUCCAUCUAGACCG